AAGUCGUAACAAGGUUUCCGUAGGUGAACCUGCGGAAGGAUCAUUAUCCUAUUUGCAAAGUGUUAGCAUUAGCACUUUACGUGUAAGCUCAUGCUUAUGCGAUUUUUUACAUGCAGCUAUAGCGCUUGCUCUAGCUGUAAAAAUCCAUAUUAGCUUUAAUAUGGUCGGUACCUACGUUAGGUUUAAAGAUUAUUCAUCAAAGUGAAUGGCGCCAUCAAGCGAAAAUAUUUAAAACAUAUUUAUUUUAGUUGUGUAGAAUAGAUGAGUUCUUUUUUAGGAUUCAUUUAACUCUAUUACAACCCUAUGCGGUGGAUCACUUGGCUCGCGAGUCGAUGAAGAGCGCAGCAAACUGCGUGAAUUAAUGUGAUUUGCAGGACACAUUGAUCAUCGAUAUCUUGAACGCAUAUUGCGGUUAUGGAUCGCUUCCAUGACCACGCCUGUCUGAGGGUCGGUUUAAAUGUUUAAAAAUGUGAAAGGCCCAAGAGCUUUUGAUCGGUCGUUAAAUAAUUUUAUUUAUCGACUCUAGAUGCAUGUUAACUAUUCGUAUAAUAGUUUAAAGGCACAAUUUUGUUUCAUGAUUGGCAGUCAUCGUAAAGAUGCAAACAAAAAUUGCAUUGAACAUUUUAUUUGUUUGCUCUUGACGGUGUUAGCAUCAGUAGAAGCAAAUAUUCUAUGUGCAUUGCUACAUAUUUCAUUUUCGACCUCAGAUCAGACGAGAUUACCCGCUGAAUUUAA
rnacentral:rRNA from 1 species